GUGGGGAAUCUUAGACAAUGGGGGCAACCCUGAUCUAGCCAUGCCGCGUGAGUGAUGAAGGCCUUAGGGUCGUAAAGCUCUUUCGCUGGGGAAGAUAAUGACGGUACCCAGUAAAGAAACCCCGGCUAACUCCGUGCCAGCAGCCGCGGUAAUACGGAGGGGGUUAGCGUUGUUCGGAAUUACUGGUCGUAAAGCGCGCGUAGGCGGAUUGGAAAGUUGGGGGUGAAAUCCCGGGGCUCAACCCUGGAAUGGCCUUCAAAACUCCCAGUCUUGAGGUCGAGAGAGGUGAGUGGAAUUCCGAGUGUAGAGGUGAAAUUCGUAGAUAUUCGGAGGAACACCAGUGGCGAAGGCGGCUCACUGGCUCGAUACUGACGCUGAGGUGCGAAAGCGUGGGGAGCAAACAGGAUUAGAUACCCUUGUAGUCC
rnacentral:rRNA from 1 species